GUUUUAUUCUGAGGUUUUUGAUCAGGCUCAGGAUGAACGCUGGCGGCGUGCCUAAUACAUGCAAGUCGAGCGAACAGACGAGGAGCUUGCUCCUCUGACGUUAGCGGCGGACGGGUGAGUAACACGUGGAUAACCUACCUAUAAGACUGGGAUAACUUCGGGAAACCGGAGCUAAUACCGGAUAAUAUAUUGAACCGCAUGGUUCAAUAGUGAAAGACGGUUUUGCUGUCACUUAUAGAUGGAUCCGCGCCGCAUUAGCUAGUUGGUAAGGUAACGGCUUACCAAGGCAACGAUGCGUAGCCGACCUGAGAGGGUGAUCGGCCACACUGGAACUGAGACACGGUCCAGACUCCUACGGGAGGCAGCAGUAGGGAAUCUUCCGCAAUGGGCGAAAGCCUGACGGAGCAACGCCGCGUGAGUGAUGAAGGUCUUCGGAUCGUAAAACUCUGUUAUUAGGGAAGAACAAAUGUGUAAGUAACUAUGCACGUCUUGACGGUACCUAAUCAGAAAGCCACGGCUAACUACGUGCCAGCAGCCGCGGUAAUACGUAGGUGGCAAGCGUUAUCCGGAAUUAUUGGGCGUAAAGCGCGCGUAGGCGGUUUUUUAAGUCUGAUGUGAAAGCCCACGGCUCAACCGUGGAGGGUCAUUGAAACUGGAAAACUUGAGUGCAGAAGAGGAAAGUGGAAUUCCAUGUGUAGCGGUGAAAUGCGCAGAGAUAUGGAGGAACACCAGUGGCGAAGGCGACUUUCUGGUCUGUAACUGACGCUGAUGUGCGAAAGCGUGGGGAUCAAACAGGAUUAGAUACCCUGGUAGUCCACGCCGUAAACGAUGAGUGCUAAGUGUUAGGGGGUUUCCGCCCCUUAGUGCUGCAGCUAACGCAUUAAGG
rnacentral:rRNA from 1 species